AUUCCACAGCUAAUGUUCCUGACUCAAUACUCCGUAGCUAAUGCUCCUGACGAGUUAAUCCACAGUUAAUACUCCUGGCCAAUUACUCCCCAGUUAAUGCCCCCGCCCAAUUACCCCACAGUGAAUACUCCCGGUGAAAGAUUUCCUGUGCUCACUCAGACCCCAAUACUGAAUGUCAGAGUGGGUCAAACCGCCCAGUUACACUGCUCUAUGCAGGAUAUCGAUUUGGGAGUGAGUGAUGUGCACUGGUACCGACGCAGUCCGACGGGUUAUCAAUGGAUUGUGACACACCAUGUGGAUGGAGCUGUGUUAGUGAAUAAAGAUUUUCAGGGUCGUUUUAAUUCGAUCAGAAAUAACACCGGUCUUGUUGUCACACUAACAAUCACAAACAGUCAGCCUGAAGAUGCGACUGUGUAUUACUGUACAGUGUGGUCCAAUGUGUACGGGACUGGGACCCAGCUGAAUAUCAUCAGUAAGUACGUUUUAUCGCUUAGUGUGUGCGGGUGUCUGUGUGUCAUCGGCAGUCAUGGUUUUUACCCAAUGGGGAGAUGGGUCUCAGUGCAGCACAUUGGCUUUGAGAAGACCAUUGGGGAGCUGUGUCCUAGUGCAGCACGUUGGUAUUGA